rnacentral:tRNA from 1 species
GGGUAUGUGGCUUAGUGGUAGAGUACUUGCCUAGUAGGCAUGAAGCUCUGGGUUCAAUUCCUCAGUGCCA